UACGUAGGGUGCGAGCGUUGUCCGGAAUUAUUGGGCGUAAAGAGCUCGUAGGCGGUCCGUCGCGUCGAAUGUGAAAACCCGGGGCUCAACUCCGGGCUUGCAUUCGAUACGGGCGGACUAGAGUUCGGUAGGGGAGACUGGAAUUCCUGGUGUAGCGGUGAAAUGCGCAGAUAUCAGGAGGAACACCGGUGGCGAAGGCGGGUCUCUGGGCCGAUACUGACGCUGAGGAGCGAAAGCGUGGGGAGCAAACGGG
rnacentral:rRNA from 1 species